rnacentral:rRNA from 1 species
UGGGGAAUUUUGGACAAUGGGCGCAAGCCUGAUCCAGCCAUGCCGCGUGCGGGAAGAAGGCCUUCGGGUUGUAAACCGCUUUUGUCAGGGAAGAAAUCUUCUGAGUUAAUACCUCGGGAGGAUGACGGUACCUGAAGAAUAAGCACCGGCUAACUACGUGCCAGCAGCCGCGGUAAUACGUAGGGUGCAAGCGUUAAUCGGAAUUACUGGGCGUAAAGCGUGCGCAGGCGGCUUUGUAAGACAGAGGUGAAAUCCCCGGGCUCAACCUGGGAACUGCCUUUGUGACUGCAAGGCUUGAGUGCGGCAGAGGGGGGAUGGAAUUCCGCGUGUAGCAGUGAAAUGCGUAGAUAUGCGGAGGAACACCCGAUGGCGAAGGCAAAUCCCGUAGGGCCCUGGCACUGACGCUCAUGCACGAAAGCGUGGGGAGCAAAACAGGAUUAGAUACCCUGGUAGUCCACGCCCUAAACGAUGUCAACUGGUUGUUGGGAAGGUUCCUUCUCAGUAACGUAGCUAACGCGUGAAGUUGACCGCCUGGGGAGUACGGCCGCAA